GGACAUGAAAUAUAUAUGUGCAUUAUAUUUAUACAGGAGAUGCAUUGGAAAACAUCCAUAGCCCCAAGACUGAAGUGAAGCAGACAACCAUUUCAGCCAAGACACUGCAGUCCUUCUGUGGAAAAAGCUCAACUCUGGAUUGCACAAGUGAUGAGGCAGCAGCAACUUGAAAAAAUGGAACAGUUGGGACUAUGUAUUCAUACCUGCAAUUGCCUCUGACAACUGGAAAACAAUGGUGAGAAUGAGGUAUAAAGCAGAUCUGGAAAAUUUUCAAGUCAGUUAGCUUACAGUAUUUUACAUAUC
rnacentral:lncRNA from 1 species